UGGGGAAUAUUGCACAAUGGGGGAAACCCUGAUGCAGCGACGCCGCGUGAGCGAUGAAGUAUUUCGGUAUGUAAAGCUCUAUCAGCAGGGAAGAAGAUGACGGUACCUGACCAAGAAGCCCCGGCUAACUACGUGCC
rnacentral:rRNA from 1 species